UCCGGCUUAUCACCGGCGGUUUCUUUAGAGUGCCCAACUAAAUGAUGGCAACUAAAGACGAGGGUUGCGCUCGUUGCGGGACUUAACCCAACAUCUCACGACACGAGUUGACGACGGCCAUGCAACACCUGUGCAUGCUCCCCGAGGGGUCCCUCACCUUUCGGGUCGGUACCACAUGCAUGUCAAACCUGGGUGAGGUUCUUCGCGUAUCAUCGAAUUAAACCACACGCUCCGCUGCUUGUGCGGGCCCCCGUCAAUUCCUUUGAGUUUUAGCCUUGCGGCCGUAGUCCCCAGGCGGAGUACUUAUCGCGUUAGCUGCGGCACCGAGGGGGUCGAUACCCCCGACACCUAGUACUCAUCGUUUACAGCGUGGACUAC
rnacentral:misc_RNA from 1 species